GGGCGGGGAGGGCCCCGCGCCCCCUCAGCUGAGCGCGGGCCCCGCGGACCGGGGGAUGCGCCGGGAUCUGCGGUUGUUGCUGACAGCCAAGGCCUUCCUCUCCAAGCUGUUUAAAUGAGAAUGUCCCUGGCGCAAAGAGUGCUGCUGACAUGGCUUUUUACCUUACUCUUCCUGAUCAUGCUGGUGCUGAAGUUGGAUGAGAAAGCACCAUGGAACUGGUUCCUCAUUUUCAUUCCAGUGUGGAUCUUUGACACGAUCCUUCUCGUGAUGUUAAUUGUAAAAAUGGCCGGGCGCUGCAAGUCCGGCUUCGACCCGCGCAACGGCUCGCAGAACAUGAAGAAGAAGGUCUGGUACCUCGUGGCCAUGCUGCUGAAACUGGCCUUCUGCCUGGCCCUGUGUGCCAAGCUGCAGCGCUUCACCACCAUGAAACUGGCCUACGUGUUCAUCCCCCUGUGGGCCCUGCUGCUGGGGGCCAUGGUGGAACUGGGGUACAACAUCUUCUAUGUACGGAGAGACUAGGCCAGGCCAGGAGCUUCCAGGGCAAGGCUGGCACCAAAUUACUGGGUUAUUGCCAUUUUGCCACAAAUUUGAUCUUCAGACUAGAAAGCCAAAUGAGUCAAGCUGGAGACUUAAGCUAAAGCAGACUGAAGACUGAAAGUAGACAUGUUUCUUUUUUUUUUUAUUUUAAAACUCACAUAUGCUCUUGUAAAUAAAAGUAUUUGUUCAACAUAAGCUGUUCUAAUAUAAUUACUGAUGAUAUUUGUUACAUGGAAUAAGAUAUGAGUUCUUCACAUGCAGGUAGAAGACCUUGUCAAAAUAACCACAAAUGUUCAACCCAGAGUAUCCAGCACAUUGAGUAAUCCUGGGCAAGAGGACUAACAUUUUCUGCUGCUUAUGCUGUAAGUCAAGAAAUAACCAGUUAACAGUCAUUUCCAUAAGGAGCUAAAUUUGCUUCAAAAAUCAGUAACAACUGACAGCAGCCAAAUAAGAGCAAGAAAAGGAACACCUUUUUUUUGUUGUUGUUGCUUUUGACAGUGAGAUUCCAUUACCAGUGUAAAAAUAAGCAGUUUUCUGAGCUGCUGAAACAGCCCAUAAGCAGUAUGUUAACCCUAGGGAACACAGUUGGUAGCUGAGCUGUGCCAGCAGUCCUGAGAUCCAGAGAAGAGGGAGGCAAUGGUAUUUCUUUUGCAAGUGAGAGAUCAGCAAUGCUGCAAGAGACUGAAAAUACAGGGUGAGUAACCAAUACUGCACUUGUACCUGCCUCAAAGUGUUACUUGAACAAGACAGUCUUUAAUAGCUGAGGAUAUGAAAUUUUUGGGGGUGAAGCCUUGGCUUCAUGGCAAACUCAGAUGUGAGGAAAUGACCUUUGUCAGGUAACAAGCGAAUAGGACUUGAGGGAAGAACUGGAACUACAGGUGUAUUUUGUGGGCUAAAAUGCUCUUCCAGGAGACACAGUAACACCAAAUUCAAAUGUAGCAGUUAUCUGUGACAUUAUUAGCAUGCAUACUGAAAAUACUGAUCCAUUCCUAGAGACAAAAGAAUGUCAAGUGAAUGAAAAACAGUCUAGGGUAACAGGACAUACCUAGACAAGUGUUUCACUAGUAAAAUUAUAAGUAUGUACAUUCAGCUGUACUUGUCUGUGGAAAAAAGUCUUCCUGAAGUGUUUGGAUUUACUCUUGCUGUUUCAUCACACAGAUGUGGGUAAAAACACAGAGGAACCAUAUUGUGGGAGACUGCUGAAAAGAGCUGUAUCUAAGAAAACAUGUUCCAUUCUAAGGCAGUGAAUCUCAACUCAGAAUAUCAGGUAAACUUUGAUGACCCACUUAACAAGCAGUGAUACAAGUGUGGAACAAGCAUUCAAGCACCUGAGACAAGAUUAUUUUAUCUGCACACACACACACUUACCUGUGGUUUGAACACUUCAGCAUGCAUUGCAGGUUUUGAUGGAGUUAAUCUCCCAUAAGAGCCCUGCAGACCUGAAUGGGCCUGGGUACCAACUUGCUGCUGAAAAUCAUCAGGC